rnacentral:tRNA from 1 species
GCGCCGGUAGCUCAGUUGGUAGAGCAGCUGACUCUUAAUCAGCGGGUCCCGUGUUCGAGCCACGGCCGGCGCACCA